AGAGUUUUGAUCCUGGUCAGGACGAACGCUGGCGGCGUGCUUAACACAUGCAAGUCGAACGAUGAAGCCUAGCUUGCUGGGUGGAAGAGUGGCGAACGGGUGAGUAACACGUGAGUAACCUGCCUAUCACUCUGGGAUAAGCGCUGGAAACGGCGUCUAAUACUGGAUAUGUCCCAUCACCGCAUGGUGUGUGGGUGGAAAGAUUUAUCGGUGGUAGAUGGACUCGCGGCCUAUCAGCUUGUUGGUGAGGUAAUGGCUCACCCAAGGCGACGACGGGUAGCCGGCCUGAGAGGGUGACCGGCCACACUGGGACUGAGACACGGCCCAGACUCCUACGGGAGGCAGCAGUGGGGAAUAUUGCACAAUGGGCGCAAGCCUGGUGCAGCAACGCCGCGUGAGGGAUGACGGCCUUCGGGUUGUAAACCUCUUUUAGUAGGGAAGAAGCGAAAGUGACGGUACCUGCAGAAAAAGCACCGGCUAACUACGUG
rnacentral:rRNA from 1 species